AUUCAUUUUAAAAUAAUAACCUUUAAUCAUUUCUAAAAGCAUAUUUUACUUUGCUUUUCUGUGCAACAAUUUGAAAAAAAUUAAUGGCUAUAUCAACAUAAUGGAUGAGACAAGGUUUUAAAAUAUUGACACCCCAUCAAUUUUUUUUCACAUAAAUCAAAAAAUAGUAAGUGUAUGAAACUUCAAAUUAAAAUUAAACCAACAGAACCAAUAAGUUUUAGUUGAGUGAUACUGAUACGGUGUGUCCGCAAGUG
rnacentral:misc_RNA from 1 species